rnacentral:rRNA from 1 species
AGCUCCAAUAGCGUAUAUUAAAGUUGUUGCAGUUAAAAAGCUCGUAGUUGGAUUUCUGGCUUGGUGUGCCUGGCCCGCCACAGUUAUGUGUGUGAGUGCCGGCGCGCGCCUGCCAUCCUUCUAGAAAACAGUUCUACCUUUCAUUAGGCCGGGGCUGCGAUCUAGAUCUUUUACUUUGAAAAAAUUAGAGUGUUUAAAGCAGGCUUACGCUAUGAAUACAUUAGCAUGGAAUAAUAAUUUAGGACUUUGGUUCUAUUUUGUUGGUACAUGGGACUGAAGUAAUGAUUGAUAGGGAUAGUUGGGGGUGCUAGUAUUCAGCGGCCAGAGGUGAAAUUCUUGGAUUCGCUGAAGACUAACUUAUGCGAAAGCAUUCACCAAGGAUGUCUUCUUUAAUCAAGAA